UACGUAGGGCGCAAGCGUUGUCCGGAAUUAUUGGGCGUAAAGAGCUCGUAGGCGGCCUGUUGCGUCCGCUGUGAAAUCCCGGGGCUUAACCCCGGGCUUGCAGUGGAUACGGGCAGGCUGGAGGCAGGCAGGGGAGAACGGAAUUCCCGGUGUAGCGGUGAAAUGCGUAGAGAUCGGGAGGAACACCAGUGGCGAAGGCGGCUACCUGGACCAGCACUGACACUGAGGCACGAAAGCGUGGGGAGCAAACAGG
rnacentral:rRNA from 1 species